AGAAAAAAGCAGAAGCAACCCGCUUCUCGCCUAGUGGAUUUACAAUUCGCAGGCAGAUGAUAUUUAUUUCGAAUUGAUGAAGUGAAGAUUAACCCGGGUAGCUUUGUAUAGGCUACUCGGUUUUUUUCUGCAUU
rfam:Lactobacillus cacaonum DSM 21116 NODE_37, whole genome shotgun sequence.